GUUGGGUAGGGGAGCGUUCUGUAAGCCUGCGAAGGUGGCCUGUGAGGGUUGCUGGAGGUAUCAGAAGUGCGAAUGCUGACAUAAGUAACGAUAAAGCGGGUGAAAAGCCCGCUCGCCGGAAGACCAAGGGUUCCUGUCCAACGUUAAUCGGGGCAGGGUGAGUCGACCCCUAAGGCGAGGCCGAAAGGCGUAGUCGAUGGGAAACGGGUUAAUAUUCCCGUACUUGGUGUUACUGCGAAGGGGGGACGGAGAAGGCUAUGUUGGCCGGGCGACGGUUGUCCCGGUUUAAGCGUGUAGGCUGGUUUUCCAGGCAAAUCCGGAAAAUCAAGGCUGAGGCGUGAUGACGAGGCACUACGGUGCUGAAGCAACAAAUGCCCUGCUUCCAGGAAAAGCCUCUAAGCAUCAGGUAACAUCAAAUCGUACCCCAAACCGACACAGGUGGUCAGGUAGAGAAUACCAAGGCGCUUGAGAGAACUCGGGUGAAGGAACUAGGCAAAAUGGUGCCGUAACUUCGGGAGAAGGCACGCUGACACGUAGGUGAAGUGAUUUACUCACGGAGCUGAAGUCAGUCGAAGAUACCAGCUGGCUGCAACUGUUUAUUAAAAACACAGCACUGUGCAAACACGAAAGUGGACGUAUACGGUGUGACGCCUGCCCGGUGCCGGAAGGUUAAUUGAUGGGGUCAGCGCAAGCGAAGCUCCUGAUCGAAGCCCCGGUAAACGGCGGCCGUAACUAUAACGGUCCUAAGGUAGCGAAAUUCCUUGUCGGGUAAGUUCCGACCUGCACGAAUGGCGUAAUGAUGGCCAGGCUGUCUCCACCCGAGACUCAGUGAAAUUGAACUCGCUGUGAAGAUGCAGUGUACCCGCGGCAAGACGGAAAGACCCCGUGAACCUUUACUAUAGCUUGACACUGAACAUUGAGCCUUGAUGUGUAGGAUAGGUGGGAGGCUUUGAAGUGUGGACGCCAGUCUGCAUGGAGCCGACCUUGAAAUACCACCCUUUAAUGUUUGAUGUUCUAACGUGGACCCGUAAUCCGGGUUGCGGACAGUGUCUGGUGGGUAGUUUGACUGGGGCGGUCUCCUCCUAAAGAGUAACGGAGGAGCACGAAGGUUGGCUAAUCCUGGUCGGACAUCAGGAGGUUAGUGCAAUGGCAUAAGCCAGCUUGACUGCGAGCGUGACGGCGCGAGCAGGUGCGAAAGCAGGUCAUAGUGAUCCGGUGGUUCUGAAUGGAAGGGCCAUCGCUCAACGGAUAAAAGGUACUCCGGGGAUAACAGGCUGAUACCGCCCAAGAGUUCAUAUCGACGGCGGUGUUUGGCACCUCGAUGUCGGCUCAUCACAUCCUGGGGCUGAAGUAGGUCCCAAGGGUAUGGCUGUUCGCCAUUUAAAGUGGUACGCGAGCUGGGUUUAGAACGUCGUGAGACAGUUCGGUCCCUAUCUGCCGUGGGCGCUGGAGAACUGAGGGGGGCUGCUCCUAGUACGAGAGGACCGGAGUGGACGCAUCACUGGUGUUCGGGUUGUCAUGCCAAUGGCACUGCCCGGUAGCUAAAUGCGGAAGAGAUAAGUGCUGAAAGCAUCUAAGCACGAAACUUGCCCCGAGAUGAGUUCU
rnacentral:rRNA from 1 species